UAGCCAUGGGCAGGUUGAAGGUUGGGUAACACUAACUGGAGGACCGAACCGACUAAUGUUGAAAAAUUAGCGGAUGACUUGUGGCUGGGGGUGAAAGGCCAAUCAAACCGGGAGAUAGCUGGUUCUCCCCGAAAGCUAUUUAGGUAGCGCCUCGUGAAUUCAUCUCCGGGGGUAGAGCACUGUUUCGGCAAGGGGGUCAUCCCGACUUACCAACCCGAUGCAAACUGCGAAUACCGGAGAAUGUUAUCACGGGAGACACACGGCGGGUGCUAACGUCCGUCGUGAAGAGGGAAACAACCCAGACCGCCAGCUAAGGUCCCAAAGUCAUGGUUAAGUGGGAAACGAUGUGGGAAGGCCCAGACAGCCAGGAUGUUGGCUUAGAAGCAGCCAUCAUUUAAAGAAAGCGUAAUAGCUCACUGGUCGAGUCGGCCUGCGCGGAAGAUGUAACGGGGCUAAACCAUGCACCGAAGCUGCGGCAGCGACACUGUGUGUUGUUGGGUAGGGGAGCGU
rnacentral:rRNA from 1 species